GUAGGGUUAGGGUUAGGGUUAGGGUUAGGGUUAGGUAUAUAGGUAAAAGCGAGUUUCACCCUCAUUAAUUCGACCCUCAUUAGCAUAUGCGAUCUGAUUGGCCGAAGCUUACCUGGCCGUAUCUUUUGAAGCGGAGGUCCGACGUGCACAUAAGUGGUAUCGUUGGAUUCAGAAAUCUGUCUUCUUUCAGGUAGCGUGGAUGUCUGGAAGACAGGUAUAUAGAUAAAAGCGAGUUUCACCCUCAUUGGUUCCACCUUCAUUAGCAUAUGCGAUCUGAUUGGCCAAAGCUUACCUGGCCGUAUCUUUUGAAGCGGAGGUCGGACGUGCACAUAACUGGUAUCGUUGGAUUCAGAAAGCUGUCUUCUUUCAGGUAGCGUGGAUGUCUGGAAGACAGGAUGUUGCUAGGGUAAAUUUUAGGUCGGGUUAUCCUGAGUAGGUCUGUGAGACGGUUAGGUUUAGGGUCAGUUUUAGGUCGGGUUAUCCUGAGUAGGCCUGUGAGACGGUUAGGUUUAGGGUCAGUUUUAGGUCGGGUUAUCCUGAGUAGGUCUGUGAGACGGUUAGGUUUAGGGUCAGUUUUAGGUCGGGUUAUCCUGAGUAGGCCUGUGAGACGGUUAGGUUUAGGGUCAGUUUUAGGUCGGGUUAUCCUGAGUAGGCCUGUGAGACGGGUUGUUUGAUUGACCGCCGCAAUCUGUUUGUUUGUUUGGUUGUCUAAAAUGAGCUUAAAACGUUCUGUUCUUAGUCACUGCCCAGAUUGGCUUUGUUCUGUUGAGUAGUUAAAUAUUGUAUUAAAUUGGAUGCUAAUAAAGUACUAUAAAUCGAAUCCAUCUUGAAAAUUCCACUCUAAGUGGCCAAAAGGUCAAAGGUCAAGACUGGCGGAUAUGGCCUGGUUGGCAUCUUGCAAUAAUAAAACGUACGUAAUAACUACUGUAAAUCAAAUGAAGUCUAAAAAUCGAAAGAUAGGCCUAAGACGUUCCCAAAAGGUCGAAGGUCGUGACUGGCGGAUGCAAAGAAUAAAAGGUAGCAAAAAGGUAAUACAAGUCUUUAUAAAAACAGUUUUCCAGCCAGUUUGUGUGUGUGUGUUUGUGAAAGAGAGAGAGAGAGAUAGAGAGAGUGUGUGUGUGUGUGUGUGUGUGUGUGUGUGUGUGUGUGUGUGUGUGUGUGAAAGAGAGAGAGAGAGAGAGAGAGAGUGUGUGUGUUAUUUUCUGCUAAAAUAUUGGAAUUCUUAGCAGUUUCUUACACAUGGCUAUUCACAGUUUUAUCCAGGAGAGGGCGACGAGAAGCCAAGGGUAAUAUCCUGGAAUAGAUAGAUAGAUAGAUGAUAGAUAGUUAGUUAGAGAAUAAAGAAAAAAAAAUAGAUAGAAAAUAGAUAGAAAAAAUACAUCCAAAUGAAAUAACCUGUGAAAUCAAUUGUCUUUUUAGCAAAAAGGAAAUGCAAGUCUUUAUAAAAACAGUUUUCCAGCCAGUUUGUGUGUGUGAGUGUGUUUGUGAAAGAGAGAGAGAGUGUAUCAUUACAAUUCAGAAUUGAACAAUUUAAGAUAAAACAGCAGAUAGGCUUGAGCAAUUUAGACUAUUGAACAUGUAAAGGAAGAACAUAUUGUUCCUCUCAAAGGUUGUGUAAAGUGUUGGGUGCUGGUAUGGAUGGAUGGAUGGAUGGAUGGAUGGAUAGAGAUUAGUUUUACGAUAUUUCUGUGCAGAGUUUGAUGAAGUUUUGUGUUAAUGAAGGUUUAUGGAGCAUAGGGACUAGCAUGUUUAAAGUUGGUGGGGUGAGGAGUUAAUUGGGUUAAGGGUUAGUGAGGCUAGGGCUAGCAGCUCUGAGGUUUGGGUUAGGGGCUAGUCUGGGGGUUAACUGCGAGUAGGUUAAGGGUUAGUGAGGCUAGGGUUAGCAGCUCUGAGGUUUGGGUUAGGGGCUAGUCUGGGGUUAACUGCGAGUAGGUAUAUAGGUAAAAGCGAGUUUCACCCUCAUUAAUUCGACCCUCAUUAGCAUAUGCGAUCUGAUUGGCCGAAGCUUACCUGGCCGUAUCUUUUGAAGCGGAGGUCCGACGUGCACAUAAGUGGUAUCGUUGGAUUCAGAAAUCUGUCUUCUUUCAGGUAGCGUGGAUGUCUGGAAGACAGGUAUAUAGAUAAAAGCGAGUUUCACCCUCAUUGGUUCCACCUUCAUUAGCAUAUGCGAUCUGAUUGGCCAAAGCUUACCUGGCCGUAUCUUUUGAAGCGGAGGUCCGACGUGCGCAUAACUGGUAUCGUUGGAUUCAGAAAGCUGUCUUCUUUCAGGUAGCGUGGAUGUCUGGAAGACAGGAUGUUGCUAGGGUAAAUUUUAGGUCGGGUUAUCCUGAGUAGGUCUGUGAGACGGUUAGGUUUAGGGUCAGUUUUAGGUCGGGUUAUCCUGAGUAGGCCUGUGAGACGGUUAGGUUUAGGGUCAGUUUUAGGUCGGGUUAUCCUGAGUAGGCCUGUGAGACGGGUUGUUUGAUUGACCGCCGCAAUCUGUUUGUUUGUUUGGUUGUCUAAAAUGAGCUUAAAACGUUCUGUUCUUAGUCACUGCCCAGAUUGGCUUUGUUCUGUUGAGUAGUUAAAUAUUGUAUUAAAUUGGAUGCUAAUAAAGUACUAUAAAUCGAAUCCAUCUUGAAAAUUCCACUCUAAGUGGCCAAAAGGUCAAAGGUCAAGACUGGCGGAUAUGGCCUGGUUGGCAUCUUGCAAUAAUAAAACGUACGUAAUAACUACUGUAAAUCAAAUGAAGUCUAAAAAUCGAAAGAUAGGCCUAAGACGUUCCCAAAAGGUCGAAGGUCGUGACUGGCGGAUGCAAAGAAUAAAAGGUAGCAAAAAGGUAAUACAAGUCUUUAUAAAAACAGUUUUCCAGCCAGUUUGUGUGUGUGUGUUUGUGAAAGAGAGAGAGAGAGAUAGAGAGAGUGUGUGUGUGUGUGUGUGUGUGUGUGUGUGUGUGUGUGUGUGAAAGAGAGAGAGAGAGAGAGAGAGAGAGAGAGUGUGUGUGUUAUUUUCUGCUAAAAUAUUGGAAUUCUUAGCAGUUUCUUACACA